GGGUCAGUAGGUUGGUCGUGCCACCGGUACGUACUGGUCUCACUGAUUCCUCCUUCCUGAAGAACCGUAAUGCCAUUAAUUUGGUGUUGCGGGGAAACAGGACUGUUACUUUGAAAAAAUUAGAGUGUUUAGAGCAAGCUAACGCUUGAAUACAUUAGCAUGGAAUAAUGAAAUAGGACGAUCAAUCCUAUUUUGUUGGUUUCUAGGAUUGACGUA
rnacentral:rRNA from 1 species